AUUAAUAAUUUCGUUAUAAAAUAGUAAUUUUGAAAAAGUUUUAAAAUUACCAUUUUGCCCCUACACUAAAUUUUUGCUUAAAAAUAAUCUUCAAAUGAUCAUAACCUGAACUCUGAUACUAUUCUGUAAUAUUCAAAUAACUUAUAUUAUAAUCCUUAAUGAUCAUAACCUGAGCUCUGAUACCACUCAGUAAUAUUCAAAUCACUUAUAUUAUAAUCCUCAAUGAUCAUAACCUGAGCUCUGAUACCAUUCUGUCAUAUUCUGAAUCUAACACC
rnacentral:lncRNA from 1 species